ACUGAACGCUGGCGGCGGGCCUAACACAUGCAAGUCGGGCGAGUCGCGGACGGGUGAGUAAUGUAUGGGGAUCUGCCUGACGGAGGGGGAUAACUACUGGACACGGUAGAUAAAACUGCAUACCCUCAGAUGAACCCAUAUGGGAUUAGCUUGUAGGGGUGGUAACGGCUCACCUAGGCGACGCUCCCUAGCUGGUCGGAGAGGAUGAUAAGCCACACUGGGACGGAGACACGGCCCAGACUCCUACGUGAGGCAGCAGUGGGGAAUAUUGCACAAUGGGCGAAAGCCUGAUGCAGCCAUGCCGCGUGUAUGAAGAAGGCCUUCGGGUUGUAAAGUACUUUCAGUCGGGAGGCGUUACCGACAGAAGAAGCACCGGCUAACUCCGUGCCAGCAGCCGCGGUAAUAC
rnacentral:rRNA from 1 species